AACGAACGCUGGCGGCAUGCCUAACACAUGCAAGUCGAACGAGACCUUCGGGUCUAGUGGCGCACGGGGGCGUAACGCGUGGGAACCUGCCCUUAGGUUCGGAAUAACUCCCCGAAGGGGGUGCUAAUACCGGAUAAUGUCUUCGGACCAAAGAGUUAUCGCCUUUGGCUGGGCCCGUGUUGGAUUAGCUAGUUGGUAGGGUAAAAGCCUACCAAGGCGACGAUCCAUAGCUGGUCUGAGAGGAUGAUCAGCCACACUGGGACUGAGACACGGCCCAGAAUCCUACGGGAGGCAGCAGUGGGGAAUAUUGGACAAUGGGCGAAAGCCUGAUCAAGCAAUGCCGCGUGAGUGAUGAAGGCCUUAGGGUUGUAAAGCUCUUUUACCCGGGAUGAUAAUGACAGUACCGGGAGAAUAAGCUCCGGCUAACUCCGUG
rnacentral:rRNA from 1 species